AGCCGAUGGAAAUAAGAAAAGGAAGCUUGGAAAGAGAGCAGAACCCAAAUCCAGGUGUGCUUUCGUGAAACUGCUGCCGUUUGUGGUAUACCAGGCUGGAAGUUUUGUGUAGUGUUUGUUGAUUAUGUUAUGCAAAGUAGCCUGAUCGUCCCAGUGUCACUGCCAGCUCUGCCAACUGGAGUUCCUGAGCAUAGUACCCAGGACCUGAAUACAUUGUUUGUACUAACACUGUCACCAACUCAGAUUCUGCAUGCUAAGCUAUCACCCCAGAAGCAUGGAAACUUUGAGCUAAAUAGAAAGCGCCUGCUCCUUGAA